UACGGGGGGGGCAAGCGUUGUUCGGAUUUACUGGGCGUAAAGGGCGCGUAGGCGGUCAGCCCAAGUCAAUUGUGAAAUCUCCGAGCUUAACUCGGAAAGGUCAACUGAAACUGUGCGACUAGAGUGCGGAAGGGGCAACUGGAAUUCUUGGUGUAGCGGUGAAAUGCGUAGAUAUCAAGAGGAACACCGGUGGCGAAGGCGGCCUUCUGGACAGUGACUGACGCUGAGACGCGAAAGCGUGGGGAGCAAACAGG
rnacentral:rRNA from 1 species